AGAGACCGGCUCGACGAGCCUUCAUCGCCCCGUCACCACUACCACUAGGUCUCUCUCUCUUGCGUUCGUUCUCAGCGAACUCAGCAGCACCUGCGUCUUUGUCUCGAUCCUCGCUCCUUGCAACCUCAGCCACCAGCCGCCGCUUGACGUCGCGCCUCCUGCUCGCGACUCCGGUGAGCACAGCCGCUCAGGCGAGCAGCGUCUCCUAUUUCGGUUGACUUCAGCAACUGUCUUCUCUUUCUCUUCAUUCUGGCGAGACUGGUUGAAGGCUAGACGAUCUGGUUCCUUCUCCGCUGCUGUCAGUUGCGUUAGCCACCUCCGGUUGUCUCUCCGGCGCGCAUAGUCACUGUAUCCGGCCAACAGAUUUUGACAGCAAUAGUUUAUUACUUCUGGUUAUUUUCCAGAAAUUUAAUUAAUCCUAGCAUUUUAUGGCUAGUCAAUUUAAUUUAAUUUUGAGUAUUGACCAAUGUAGUAUAGUCUUGAUUUGAUUAGAGGACCUUAAUUAAUUAAAGCCAAUUUUAAUUAGUACUAAAUAAAUUUAAUUGAGG
rnacentral:lncRNA from 1 species